UACGUAGGGUGCAAGCGUUGUCCGGAAUUAUUGGGCGUAAAGAGCUCGUAGGCGGUUUGUCGCGUCUGCUGUGAAAACUCGGGGCUUAACCCCGGGCCUGCAGUGGGUACGGGCAGACUAGAGUGCGGUAGGGGAGACUGGAAUUCCUGGUGUAGCGGUGAAAUGCGCAGAUAUCAGGAGGAACACCGGUGGCGAAGGCGGGUCUCUGGGACGGUACUGACGCUGAGACGCGAAAGCGCGGGGAGCGAACAGG
rnacentral:rRNA from 1 species